AGGACGAACGCUGGCGGCGUGCUUAACACAUGCAAGUCGAGCGGAAAGGCCCUUCGGGGUACUCGAGCGGCGAACGGGUGAGUAACACGUGAGCAACCUGCCCUUAGCUCCGGGAUAGCUCCGGGAAACCGGAAUUAAUACCGGAUACGACCACGGCCGACAUCUGCUGUGGUGGAAAGGAUUCCGGCUAAGGAUGGGCUCGCGGCCUAUCAGCUAGUUGGUGGGGUAAUGGCCCACCAAGGCGACGACGGGUAG
rnacentral:rRNA from 1 species